rnacentral:rRNA from 1 species
AGAGCGAACGCUGGCGGCAGGCCUAACACAUGCAAGUCGAGCGCCCGUAGCAAUACGGGAGCGGCAGACGGGAUAGUAACACGUGGGAACGCGCCCUUCGGUUCGGAAUAACUCAGGGAAACUUGAGCUAAUACCGAAUACGCCCUUACGGGGAAAGAUUUAUUGCCGAAGGAACGGCCCGCGUCCGAUUAGCUAGUUGGUGAGGUAAUGGCUCACCAAGGCUACGAUCGGUAGCUGGUCUGAGAGGAUGACCAGCAUCACUGGGACUGAGACACGGCCCAGACUCCUACGGGAGGCAGCAGUGGGGAAUAUUGGACAAUGGGCGAAAGCCUGAUCCAGCCAUGCCGCGUGGAUGAUGAAGGCCUUAGGGUUGUAAAGUCCUUUUAACGGGAGAUAAUGACGGUACCGUAGAAUAAGCCCCGGCUAACUUCGUGCCAGCAGCCGC